GAAACUUGCCCCGAGAUGAGUUCUCCCUGAGACUUUAAGUCUCCUGAAGGAACGUUAAAGACGAUGACGUUGAUAGGCCGGGUGUGUAAGCGCAGCGAUGCGUUGAGCUAACCGGUACUAAUGAACCGUGAGGCUUAACCUUACAACGCCGAAG
rnacentral:rRNA from 1 species